rnacentral:tRNA from 1 species
UGAUAGUUGAUUGAGUUUGGUUUAAAAUAUGUGUUUUGAAAACACAAAAGUACUUCAAGUAUUUCACAAGUUCGAAUCUUGUACUAUCUA